rnacentral:rRNA from 1 species
CCUACGGGGUGCAGCAGUGAGGAAUAUUGGUCAAUGGGCGGAAGCCUGAACCAGCCAAGUAGCGUGCAGGAUGACGGCCCUACGGGUUGUAAACUGCUUUUAUACGGGAAUAACGCGCCUUACGUGUAGGGCUUUGCAUGUACCGUAUGAAUAAGGACUGGCUAAUUCCGUGCCAGCAGCCGCGGUAAUACGGCAGGUCCGGGCGUUAUCCGGAUUUCUUGGGGUUAAAGGGAGCGUAGGCCGCAUGUCAAGCGUGCUGUGAAAUGUCCGGGCUCAACCCGGGCCGUGCAGCGCGCACUGGCGUGCGUGAGUCCGCGGAAAGCAGGCGGAAUUCGUCGUGUAGCGGUGAAAUGCUUAGAUAUGACGAAGAACCCCGAUUGCGAAGGCAGCUUGCUGCAGCGGAACUGACGCUGAUGCUCGAAAGCGCGGGUAUCGAACAGGAUUAGAUACCCCAGUAGUC